UGCCAGACUCCUACGGGAGGCAGCAGUGGGGAAUAUUGCACAAUGGGGGAAACCCUGAUGCAGCGACGCCGCGUGAGUGAAGAAGUAUUUCGGUACGUAAAGCUCUCUCAGCAGGGAAGAAAAAAAGUCCUUUGGACUUUGGACGGUACCUGACCAAGAAGCCCCGGCUAACUACGUGCCAGCAGCCGCGGUAAUACGUAGGGGGCAAGCGUUAUCCGGAUUUACUGGGUGUAAAGGGAGCGUAGACGGCAGCGCAAGUCUGGAGUGAGAGGCGGGGGCUCAACCCCCGGACUGCUUUGGAAACUGUAUAACUGGAGUGCAGGAGAGGUAAGUGGAAUUCCUAGUGUAGCGGUGAAAUGCGUAGAUAUUAGGAGGAACACCAGUGGCGAAGGCGGCUUACUGGACUGUAACUGACGUUGAGGCUCGAAAGCGUGGGGAGCAAACAGGAUUAGAUACCCUAGUAC
rnacentral:rRNA from 1 species